rnacentral:lncRNA from 1 species
GUGUUGGAUGUUGCUGUUCAAUCUGUGUCCUGUGUCUGCUCUCCUCUCCUCCACCUGUGUCUACUCCUUCUGCAGAACAACAGCUGCAACUGAGACGCAGGUUCCUCUGAACAAGACCACGACCAGGGGAAGAGGAAGGAGACCUGUUUUACGCCUCGUUGGAUAUCCGUCAGGGACAGAGGAGACCAAAGAAGAAGAAGAAGAGACCUAUACCAUCCAUCAAUACCAGCAGAGUGUGAGACCUAUACCAUCCAUCAAUACCAUUAGAAUGUGAGACCUAUACCAUCCAUCAAUUCCAACAGAGUGAGACCUAUACCAUCCAUCAAUACCAGC